UGAUGCAGCCAUGCCGCGUGUGUGAAGAAGGACCUUCGGGUUGUAAAGCACUUUCAGUAGGGAGGAAGGUAGUGUAGUUAACACCUGCAUUAUUUGACGUUACCUACAGAAGAAGCACCGGCUAACUCCGUGCCAGCAGCCGCGGUAAUACGGAGGGGUGCGAGCGUUAAUCGGAAUUACUGGGCGUAAAGCGCAUGCAGGCGGCCUGUUAAGUCAGAUGUGAAAGCCCGGGGCUUAACCUCGGAAUUGCAUUUGAAACUGGCAGGCUAGAGUCUUGUAGAGGGGGGUAGGAAUUUCAGGUGUAGCGGUGAAAUGCGUAGAGAUCUGAAGGAAUAACCAGUGGCGAAGGCGGCCCCCUGGACAAAGACUGACGCUCAGAUGCGAAAGCGUGGGGAGCAAACAGGAUUAGAUACCCUGGUAG
rnacentral:rRNA from 1 species